rnacentral:rRNA from 1 species
GACAGAGGGGGCAAGCGUUGCUCGGAAUCACUGGGCGUAAAGGGCGCGUAGGCGGGAUGGCAAGUCAGUCGUGAAAUCUCUCGGCUCAACCGAGAAACGUCGGCUGAUACUGCCGUUCUUGAGGGAUGCAGAGGAGACUGGAAUUCCCGGUGUAGCGGUGAAAUGUGUAGAGAUCGGGAGGAACACCGGUGGCGAAGGCAAUCCCCUGGACCUGUACUGACGCUCAUGCACGAAAGCGUGGGGAGCAAACAGG